rnacentral:lncRNA from 1 species
GAUAAUGGUUAGCAGUGGCACUUGAUGGUUGCCAUCUGGAGAUAAUAUAUAAAGUCAUUUUAUUUGAUGGCUAUCCAUCUUUUGAUGAUGAUCAUCGAGUGCUAUAUACCAUCUCAUGAUACAAAUCACACAUCAUAGAUGUUCCAUGCAGCGCUCUACUAAAAAUGGUGGCGCCAGUCAGAAAUAUCAAUAGGAAUUAAAAGCUGAGAGGGGUUGUUGGUCA